rnacentral:lncRNA from 1 species
AAAAGAGCUGAAAGGAAGUCCAUCUGAGUCCUCUGGGCUCCAAAGCACUGAGGACAUGUGGAAUAUGCUGAGGCUUGGAUUUCUCUAGAAGAGGAAGAAAGGAAGGAGAGAGGCAAACCGGCAAGAGAUACUUUCUCCUUAAUUUAUCAGUCAGAUCGGAGCUUCCAUGAGUCUCCAAAGAGAUGGCUGAGUGUCUGACUUCUCAUCUACAACAGCUGAAGACACGAGGUGCUCACCUUCAUUGACUUGGUGUUUCUUCCCUCUGCAUGGUGUAGUGGCUGGGAGCGCUAAGAAUGCUGGGCUUCAAAGCCCUGCCUCAUCACUUACCAUCUGGGUGACUUGGGGUAACUUACUUCUUGUCUUUAUGCCUCAGUUUCCCCUCUCAUAAAGUAGGAAUGAUAAUCGUAUCGAAUGCAUUGAGGUG